UGAGUACGAGAUGCUACGGCAUUGAAGCAGUCUAUGUCAUACUUCCAAGAAAAGCUUGCACUGUCAUAAACAAAGAAUGCCUGUACCAUAACCGACACAGGUGGGUAGGUAGAGUAUACUAAGGGGCGCGAGAUAACUCUCUCUAAGGAACUCGGCAAAAUGACUCCGUAACUUCGGGAGAAGGAGUGCCUUAUUUUUAAGGUUGCAAUAACAAGAUCCAAGCAACUGUUUAUCAAAAACACAGGUCUCCGCUAAGUCGUAAGACGAUGUAUGGGGGCUGACGCCUGCCCAGUGCCAGAAGGUUAAAGAAGUUGGUUAGCAUUCGCGAAGCUGAUAACUGCAGCCCUGGUGAACGGCGGCCGUAACAAUAACGGUCCUAAGGUAGCGAAAUUCCUUGUCGGGUAAGUUCCGACCCGCACGAAAGGCGUAAUGAUUUGGAUACUGUCUCGGAGAGGGACUCGGUGAAAUAGACUUGUCUGUGAAGAUGCGGACUACCUGCACCUGGACAGAAAGACCCUAUGAAGCUUUACUGUAACUUGAAAUUGAAAUUGGACUUUAGUUGCGCAGGAUAGGUGGGAGGCGUUGAGAAUAUUCUUGCGGGAGUAUUGGAGCCAUCAGUGAGAUACCACUCUUCUAAUGUUAGAUUUCUAACUUUGUAUCAUUAUCUGGUCAAAGAACAGUUUUAGGCGGGCAGUUUGACUGGGGCGGUCGCCUCCUAAAGGGUAACGGAGGCGCACAAAGGUUUCCUCUGAACGAGUAGAAAUCGUAUCUAGAGUGUAAAGGCAUAAGGAAGCUUGACUGUGAGACCUACAAGUCGAGCAGGGACGAAAGUCGGUCUUAGUGAUCUGACGGUGCUGAGUGGAAAGGCCGUCACUCAACGGAUAAAAGUUACUCUAAGGAUAACAGGCUGAUCUCCCCCAAGAGUUCACAUCGACGGGGAGGUUUGGCACCUCCAUGUCGGCUCAUCGCAUCCUGGGGCGGUAGUACGUCCCAAGGGUUGGGCUGUUCGCCCAUGAAAGCGGUACGCGAGCUGGGUUCAGAACGUCGUGAGACAGUUCGGUCCAUAUCCGGUGUAGGCGUUAGAAUAUUGAGAGGAGCCUUCUCUAGUACGAGAGGACCGAGAAGGACAUACCUCUAGUGUACCAGUUAUCGUGCCAACGGUAAACGCUGGGUAGCUAUGUAUGGAGUGGAUAACCGCUGAAAGCAUCUAAGUGGGAAGCCCACCUCAAGAUAU
rnacentral:rRNA from 1 species